UACAGGGGGUGCAAACGUUGCUCGGAAUCAUUGGGCGUAAAGCGCACGUAGGCGGUCUGUUAUGUCGGAUGUGAAAGCCCUUGGCUCAACUGAGGAAGUGCAUCCGAAACUGGCAGGCUAGAGUACUAAAGAGGGUCGCGGAAUUCCCGGUGUAGAGGUGAAAUUCGUAGAUAUUCGCAAGAACACCAGUGGCGAAGGCGGCUCGACUGGCCCGAUACUGACGCUGAGGCACGAAAGCGUGGGGAGCCAAACAGGG
rnacentral:rRNA from 1 species